UUGUUUUGGCAGCACAUAUACUAAAAUUUGAAUGAUAUAGAGAAGAUUAGCAUGGCCCCUGUGCAAGGAUGACACACAAAUUCAUGAAGUGUUCCAUAUUAAA
rnacentral:snRNA from 1 species